GAUGAACGCUGGCGGCAUGCUUUACACAUGCAAGUCGGACGGGAAGUGGUGUUUCCCGUGGCGGACGGGUGAGUAACGCGUAAGAACCUGCCCUUGGGAGGGGAACAACAGCUGGAAACGGCUGCUAAUACCCCGUAGGCUGAGGAGCGAAAGGAGGAAUCCGCCCAAGGAGGGGCUCGCGUCUGAUUAGCUAGUUGGUGAGGUAAUAGCUUACCAAGGCCGUGAUCAGUAGCUGGUCCGAGAGGAUGAUCAGCCACACUGGGACUGAGACAAGGCCCAGACUCCUACGGGAGGCAGCAGUGGGGAAUUUUCCGCAAUGGGCGAAAGCCUGACGGAGCAAUGCCGCGUGGAGGUAAAAGGCCUACGGGUCAUGAACUUCUUUUCCUGGAGAAGAAACAAUGACGGUAGCUGGGGAAUAAGCAUCGGCUAACUCUGUG
rnacentral:rRNA from 1 species